CCUACGGGUGGCUGCAGUGGGGAAUAUUGGACAAUGGGCGAAAGCCUGAUCCAGCCAUGCCGCGUGUGUGAAGAAGGCCUUCGGGUUGUAAAGCACUUUCAGUGGGGAAGAAAGCCUUGGGGCUAAUACCCUCGAGGAAGGACAUCACCCACAGAAGAAGCACCGGCUAACUCCGUGCCAGCAGCCGCGGUAAUACGGAGGGUGCGAGCGUUAAUCGGAAUUACUGGGCGUAAAGCGCGCGUAGGCGGUCUGAUAAGCCGGUUGUGAAAGCCCCGGGCUCAACCUGGGAACGGCAUCCGGAACUGUCAGGCUAGAGUGCAGGAGAGGAAGGUAGAAUUCCCGGUGUAGCGGUGAAAUGCGUAGAGAUCGGGAGGAAUACCAGAGGCGAAGGCGGCCUUCUGGACUGACACUGACGCUGAGGUGCGAAAGCGUGGGUAGCAAACAGGAUUAGAUACCCGUGUAGUC
rnacentral:rRNA from 1 species